rnacentral:rRNA from 1 species
GAUGAACGCUGGCGGCGUGCCUAAUACAUGCAAGUCGAGCGGACAGACGAGGAGCUUGCUCCCCUGACGGUAGCGGGGGGCGGGUGAGUAACAAGUGGAUCACCUACCUAUAAUACUUGGAUAACUUCGGGGAACCGGAGCUACUACCAGAGAAUAUAUUGAACGGGAUGGUUCAAUAGUUAUAGACGGUUUUGGUGUCCCUUAUAGAUGGUGCCGCGUCGCAUUAGCUGGUUGGUAAGGUAACGGCCUACCAAGGCGACGAUGCGUAGCCGACCUGAGGGGGUGAUCGGCCACACUGGAACUGAGACACGGUCCAGACUCCUACGGGAGGCAGCAGUAGGGAAUCUUCCGCAAUGGGCGAAAGCCUGACGGAGCAACGCCGCGUGAGUGAUGAAGGUCUUCGGAUCGUAAAGCUCUUUUAUUAGGAAAGAACAACUGUGUAAGUAACUAUGGCCGUCUUGACGGUACCCAAUGAGAAAGCCACGGCUAACUACGUG